AUGUGGACUCAUCUUCGUCAGCGCUAUCAGCCCUCUGGUGAUGCUCUCUACUUGUCUGUGGUCCGUCAGGAGCAUGCUCUUCAGCAGGGAGACUCCACUAUUGAUGAGUUCUACACUCAGAGUUCUGCUAUCUGGCGCCAGCUUGACUCCCUUCGCACUACUGUUUGUGGCACUUGCCCGUGUUGCCAGACUGUGAAGUCAGACUUGGAGUUUCAGCGUGUCUAUGAGUUCUUGUCAUGGCUUUGUGGGGAGUUUGAGCCUCGACGUGCUCAGUUGUUUGCUCGUGGACGUGUUCCUAUUUCUGAGGUGCUUUCUGAGCUUCGUGCUGAGGAGACUCGCCUCUGUGGUGCUGGUUUGCUUCAGGUUCCCUCUGUGCUUGCUGCUCAAGGGAUGGUCACCCCGAGUCUGACUGCUUCCAGAAGAAGCAUGAUAUGCGUAAUAGGGAGCGCAAUUCUUCUUCUGGGACUCGUGCUUCUUCCUCGACGCCAUCUAUUGUCUCCUUGA
rnacentral:rRNA from 1 species